rnacentral:rRNA from 1 species
GACGAACGCUGGCGGCGUGCUUAACACAUGCAAGUCGAACGAAGUGGCGAACGGGUGAGUAACGCGUAAUCAACCUGCCCUUCAGCGGGGGAUAACAGUGGGAACCGACUGCUAAUACCGCAUAGUGCGGGAGGGGGAUGCGUCUGAUUAGCUAGUUGGAGGGGUAACGUCCCACCAAGGCGAUGAUCAGUAGCCGGUAUGAGAGGAUGAACGGCCACAUUGGGACUGAGACACGGCCCAGACUCCUACGGGAGGCAGCAGUGGGGAAUCUUCCGCAAUGGACGAAAGUCUGACGGAGCAACGCCGCGUGAGUGAUGACGGCCUUCGGGUUGUAAAGCUCUGUUAAUCGGGACGCGGUACCGGAAUAGAAAGCCACGGCUAACUACGUGCCAGCAGCCGCGGUAAUUC